rfam:Oryza punctata chromosome 1, whole genome shotgun sequence.
UUUAAGCGUGGUCAUAAGUUUUCGUGUCUAACUUUGAUCAUCCGUUUUAUUUAAUUUUUUUAUGAUCAGUAUUUUUAUUGUUAUUAGAUGAUAAAAUAUAAGUAGUACUUUAUGUGUGACUUAUAUUUUUUAAUUUUUUUUAAAAAGUAAAUAAUAUAAAUAAUUAAAGUUGAACACGGAAACUCAUGGUUGCGCUUAAA